UAAUCUCGGGUGGGAUCGAACCACCGUCACGGGUAAUUUACAGUCCCGGAUAAUGACCUACUAUACUACAAGAUU
rnacentral:tRNA from 1 species